AACGAACGCUGGCGGCAGGCCUAACACAUGCAAGUCGAACGAAGCCUUCGGGCUUAGUGGCGGACGGGUGAGUAACACGUGGGAACGUACCUUCUGGUUCGGAAUAACGCAGAGAAAUUUGCGCUAAUACCGGAUGAGCCCUUCGGGGGAAAGAUUUAUCGCCGAAAGAUCGGCCCGCGUCUGAUUAGCUAGUUGGUGAGGUAAAGGCUCACCAAGGCGACGAUCAGUAGCUGGUCUGAGAGGAUGAUCAGCCACAUUGGGACUGAGACACGGCCCAAACUCCUACGGGAGGCAGCAGUGGGGAAUCUUGCGCAAUGGGCGAAAGCCUGACGCAGCCAUGCCGCGUGAAUGAUGAAGGUUUUAGGAUUGUAAAAUUCUUUCACCGGGGACGAUAAUGACGGUACCCGGAGAAGAAGCCCCGGCUAACUUCGUGCCAGCCGCCGCGGUAAAAC
rnacentral:rRNA from 1 species